rnacentral:lncRNA from 1 species
AAGAAGUAUACAUGUACAUAAUAUUGUGUGCUAGACAUGCAAUUGUACAAAAAAUACAGCACAACCUUCCAUAUGCACCACUGAUAUGCACAGUAAAACCAUGUUAAUGGCUGACCAUGACAUACCACAGUAUGAUGUGAAUACUACAGUCAGCCAAGGGAAUUAUUACAAUGACAUUCAGCUUGACAGCAAUCAUGAUACCAUUGAUGUGAGAUGUUAGUCUCACUAUAACACCAUGUCAAGCUAUGGCCAUCAACCAAGUGGCAGACCUAUACCAUUGUCUGCCAAGACAUGACCUGGCUGUUCCCAUGGAUACAGAAAGAAAAAUGAAAGAAAUGGAGUGCAGUCAUUCUUAGUUCGAUAGGACUGCACUCCAUAAAAACUAGGAUUCAGUCUAGGGUUUUUUGUGCUGGGGAGCUGGCUAUUUUUUUUAUAGGAGCUUAAGGGAAAAAAAAAGGAUAAGCUAGGAUUUCCGACUUGUAAAAGUCAUUUGAAUAUCUGAAAAGUGUUGUAGCCUGCAAUUGUAGAUUGAAGAAGAACAAAAUUCACUUGCCAGUUCCCCAGCCCAGAGCAGUAGAUACAUAAGAGUGUCCAACUUCUACAGGAUUUGUGUUAGAAGAAGAUUUUGUGAUGAUGCCAUGUGUCAUCUUGAUUGAAGUUGUCCUGGCUUCAAUGAAGACCUGUGAUUUUCACUGCUUGACGGUUAUUAGGUUAGAGGUUAUUAGGUUCUCAAUUUUUUUUUUCGAUUUUAAGACACUCUUCUGUAUCUACUGUUCUUCUUCUCAAAAAUGAAAUAAACUUGAUGCCUCCCACGAGGCCCUGCCAGCACCAAAAGAGAAGCCACCCCCGCAGGCCAAAUCUUUUUGGUAGUCUCGCUGCNCUGACUAGAGCCAAUCGGUUAUAAGGCCAAGACCAGCAAACUUUAGACUGCCCUGAUACUGGAGACUGACUGUAUGGAUGUCAGACCUCCACCCACUGCAGACUCCAUGGAGGAACUCUGCUGUCACUCAAGUCAGCAAAUAAGGUGAGGGUCAGUGCAAAUGUGAGUCUUGGGUGAUCCCACCCCACCACCCACUGAAUGUGCAUGACAGUGAUGUACUGGGUGAUCAGUAGGCUUGAAGUUAAGCUUCAUUCAGACUUCUCCAAACUAAGUGAUUAUCAAACUGACGUGGAAGACUAAAAAUCAUUUUUUCUGGGAUAAUAUUGUGGGUUUAAAUGUUGUCGGCGACUGAUAAAAUGGCCUCUACCACAGAUUGUAAUUUAAUUGAAGUUUUUUCACCAGCAAAGUGAAGACCUCAGCUCCUUAAACAACAUUAAACCUGGUAUACUUUAAUCUAAUGUAAUAUAUUAUUUCUUCAUAAAUGCAAUGUAGGAAAUUAUAGUACAAAAAGAUUCUGACAGUGUUUACAACUAAAACGUCUAAACUGGAAGCUUUCAGUGAUGGGGAAAACAAACUCUUUGAGAGCACAUUGCUAUUUGAUUGCAGUUUUAUUCAAUUCAAAUGAAAGCAAAUAUGCCAAAACAAAUCCAGCAAAAUUGAAGAUGCAAUAUAUUUUACAGUUAGUAUGCUGUUCAACAAGAGAAGAAAUUAUCAACAGUGUUCAAAAUGUUGGCUUGAUACAAUGGCUAAUAUCAGAUUAAAAAAAAAACUUUUCAAAGUAUACAUCAACAUGUCCAAAGUG